GAUGAACGCUAGCGACAGGCCUAACACAUGCAAGUCGAGGGGCAGCACAAGGAGCAAUCUGAGGUGGCGACCGGCGCACGGGUGAGUAACACGUAUGCAACCUACCUGUAAGAGGGGGAUAACCCGUUGAAAGACGGACUAAUACCGCAUAAUACUGAAUAACCGCAUGGUUAAUCAGUUAAACAUUUAUGGCUUACAGAUGGGCAUGCGCAUGAUUAGCUAGUUGGUGAGGUAACGGCUCACCAAGGCAACGAUCAUUAGGGGUUCUGAGAGGAAGGUCCCCCACACUGGUACUGAGACACGGACCAGACUCCUACGGGAGGCAGCAGUGAGGAAUAUUGGUCAAUGGGCGAGAGCCUGAACCAGCCAAGUCGCGUGAAGGAUGAAGGUUUUAUGAAUUGUAAACUUCUUUUGCAGGGGAAUAAAGUGCGGUACGUGUACCGUUUUGUAUGUACUCUGCGAAUAAGGAUCGGCUAACUCCGUGCCAGCAGCCGC
rnacentral:rRNA from 1 species